GGAGGAUUACCCAAGUCCGGCUGAAGGGAACGGUCAAGAGGACGGUUUGCUAAAUCGUUAGGUCGGGUAACCGGCGCGGGGGUUCGAAUCCCCCAUUCUCCG
rnacentral:tRNA from 1 species